rnacentral:lncRNA from 1 species
CUGCCACGAUGUCGUCAGGAACAGGAAUCAGCUCCUCCUGCACCUGAGUGGCAAAAACCCGCCCACUCGGUGCCCUCGAUGCCUCCGGCUGACGCGAUGAGGACGAGCGCCCAGCCGACAUCGCCGGUGGUAACCCCUCCUGCUGUCUCGGGGUAUAAGGAACUGAUGCCGAGGUCGGUGCAGAUGAACCCCAGCUCGGGCACUCCCGAGACAUGUUGCCCGGUUGGCCACACUUGAAGCACUUCCUUUUGCGCUGCGGGCACACCGGUGGCUGAUGGUUACCGCCGCAAAUAACGCAACGGGAGGGCCUCCAACUCCUCGACUGCUGUCGGGGGUACCGAGGGGGUUUCUUUGCACUCGGCCGGCUCCCGGUGCCAC